CCCUUAGAUGUUCUGGGCCGCACGCGCGCUACAAUGAUGCAACCAACGAGUGCUGCUCCUUGGCCGAGAGGCCCGGGGAACCUUGCAAACUGCAUCGUGCUGGGGAUAGAUGAUUGCAAUUCUUCAUCUUGAACGAGGAAUGCCUUGUAAGCGUGAGUCAUCAACUCGCGCUGAAUACGUCCCUGCCCUUUGUACACACCGCCCGUCGCACCUACCGAUUGAAUGGUCCGGUGAAAUCUCGGGACGGCGGCUUGGUCGCUUGCGUCCGACUGCUGAAACUUGAUUAAACCAUAUCAUUUAGAGGAAGGUGAAGUCGUAACA
rnacentral:rRNA from 1 species